GUUUAUUCUGUUGACUUUGUUUUCAUUCUCAUGAACGUGAUAUUCAGUAAUGUAAGAAAGAAGUCAUUUAGUUGUAACUUUAAACUAAUGCCUUGAAACUUGAGUGCUUUCAGUUCGUUGAAACUACUUUUAAAUUCCAUGUCAGGUUUCCACCUGCUUAUCGAAUUUCCAUCAGACUGGUUAAUAUAGGAGUUGUAGCGAUCGAAGCCUGGCCAGCUGGUUAUUUGGCUCUGUCUCUGUUCCUUGAGAGAUGUAAUGAAUCGUUCAAGAUGCAUGCAACCUUGUCCGUCCAUUUGAAGCUUCAGUAUUGCAACAGCGAGAUGGGGAAGUGAAUGCCUGCUCAGCACCUGCAACUGAAAUAGUUGGCAAUGAGCACAAAAUGUAUUCGAUGGGUUUUCGGCGAACUUAUUUGCUUAGUGGAUAGACUGGACUUGGCUAGAGUGCACCGAUGGAUGGAGCACACCAACCUCCACAUAAUUCAAUCAGCUUGAAUUAGUUUGAUGUUUGCACCCGGAAUCCUAUGCUUGUAGUACUGAAGGGGAAUCGAGAUAUCCAUACUACCAAGUAUUAAUGCAUGGAACUACACCAAGAAUGGAAUUUUCAGUGUCAAUUUGGACUACCAUCUGAAAGCACAGCUUAAGCAGAACCAGUCCGGCCGUUCUCGUCCUCUAACGUUUGAUGAACACAGGGGCUGGUUGGCUCUUUGGGCUGCGGAUGUCCUGGGUAAGGCUAAGAUACAUGUGCGGAGACUGGUCUUGUGGUGGGCGAGGAGCUGCAGCAAAGGAAGAUCAAAGAGGGCAAAUUUAAGGGUGUAAUAUGGACUUAUCUCUAAAAUGUAUAGACUGCAACCGGGACGAAUCCCUGCUGCACAAGUUUUGGAGAUGCCCUCACUCGUGGAGGACAUGGGAGCUGGCCAGAGAGCAAUCCAAGCUCAAUCUCUGUGACCCUCCGGUGCUGGUCCAUGGGCCUCGCGACCUCCAGGGUUGGAUGCUCGAUUGGCUAGGAAAUCUGGAUGACAAGGAGAUGGUUAUCGGCACUAUGACGAUCUAUCAGCUAUGGCUGGCGAGGAAUGACGCUUGGGAGGAGGCGAAGAUGGCUGGCCCACAGGAUAUUGUGAAGCGGUCGAUCUACCUAGUAGAGGAAUGGUUGCAGCUGAAGUCUGCACUGGCUUCAAAACCUGCAUCAGUGAUGGAGCGCUGGCUCCCCCCGAGGAUGCCUGACAUAAACUUAACGCAGACGGUGCUUUCUCCGUGGAUUCGGGUAGGGGGAUGUGAUGCGGUUUUGUAGAAUCAUCAUGGCGGCUUCCUGGCUGGGGCUUGCCAUUUUUGACUUUGCUGACUGAUCCGGAGAGAGCCGAGCUUCUCGCUUGCAAACGAGCUCUAGUUCUGGCCAAGGAGAAGGGUUUAAGCGAGUUAUGCUUGAAAAUUGAUAGUCUGGGUUGCUGUGGUGAAACUACGGAGCGGUGACAGGGACCGUUCUUUGCACGGGCCGCUAGUAGAAGAAAUACGAUCAUUGCUGUAAGGUUUUGAAGAUCACUUGGUCACGCACGCGCGAUAAUCUAA